rnacentral:tRNA from 1 species
AGCUAAAUAAGCUAAUAAAGCUAAUGAGUUCAUACCUCAUAAAUGAAUAGAUUA